rnacentral:rRNA from 1 species
AUUGAACGCUGGCGGCAUGCUUUACACAUGCAAGUCGAACGGCAGCACAGCAGAGGUAACUCUGUGGGUGGCGAGUGGCGAACGGGUGAGUAAUACAUCGGAACGUACCCUGUUGUGGGGGAUAACUACGCGAAAGUGUAGCUAAUACCGCAUACGCCCUGAGGGGGAAAGCGGGGGACCCUAAAUAGAGCGCACUGGGGAGUGCGUUGUAUUUAGGGCCUCGCGCAAUAGGAGCGGCCGAUGUCGGAUUAGCUAGUUGGUGAGGUAAAGGCUUACCAAGGCGACGAUCCGUAGCUGGUCUGAGAGGAUGAUCAGCCACACUGGGACUGAGACACGGCCCAGACUCCUACGGGAGGCAGCAGUGGGGAAUUUUGGACAAUGGGGGCAACCCUGAUCCAGCCAUGCCGCGUGAGUGAAGAAGGCC